rnacentral:rRNA from 1 species
UAAGACGUAGAAGACAAGCGUUAUCCGGGUUUAUUGGGCGUAAAGAGGGUGUAGGCGGCUCUUCAAGUCGGAUGUAAAAUCUCCCGGCUCAACCGGGAGGGACCAUUCGAUACUGCUGGGCUAGAGUGCAGCAGAGGGAAGUGGAAUUCCCGGUGUAGUGGUGAAAUGCGUAGAUAUCGGGAGGAACACCAGUGGCGAAGGCGGCUUCAUGGGCUGCUACUGACGCUGAGGCCCAAAAGCGUGGGGAGCAAACAGGAUUAGAUACCCUGGUAGUCCACGCCGUAAACGAUGGACACUAGGUAUGGAGAGUAUCGACCCUUUCCGUGCCGAAGCUAACGCAUUAAGUGUCCCGCCUGGGGAGUACGGUCGCAAGACUA